UACGGAGGGUGCAAGCGUUGUUCGGAAUCAUUGGGCGUAAAGCGCGCGUAGGCGGUUAGGCAAGUCAGUUGUGAAAGCCCGGGGCCCAACCCCGGAAUUGCAUCUGAAACUGCCUGGCUAGAGUCCCGGAGAGGAAGGCAGAAUUCCCGGUGUAGGGGUGAAAUCCGUAGAUAUCGGGAGGAAUACCAGCGGCGAAGGCGGCCUUCUGGACGGUGACUGACGCUGAGACGCGAAAGCGUGGGGAGCAAACAGG
rnacentral:rRNA from 1 species